UACGAAGGGGGCUAGCGUUGUUCGGAAUUACUGGGCGUAAAGGGCGCGUAGGCGGCUAUUCAAGUCAGGCGUGAAAGCCCCGGGCUUAACCUGGGAACUGCGCUUGAGACUGGAUGGCUAGAGUACCGGAGAGGUAGGUGGAAUUCCCAGUGUAGAGGUGAAAUUCGUAGAUAUUGGGAAGAACACCAGUGGCGAAGGCGGCCUACUGGACGGUAACUGACGCUGAGGCGCGAAAGCGUGGGGAGCAAACAGG
rnacentral:rRNA from 2 species